rnacentral:hammerhead_ribozyme from 1 species
GCCUUGCUGACGAGUGCAAACUAGUACGAAACCUGGGUCCAAGGC